AAAUUACGUGAAAUGGAACUCCAAAACAAAAAUCAGAUCAAAGAUAUAUUGUAUUUUUGACGUUUCAAUUUGAUGAUUUGUUUUAUUUCAUUCAUUGAUAUGAAGCGGCUGCCCUCUGGCGGUCAUCUGAUGCAAUCACACACAUUUUCUGACAUGCUAGCUUCAAUCGGUUUUCGCACCUUUUCUGAACUGAAUUUUGGUUGUUCUUUGCCGUGAACCUGGAAUUACGGAAUCGUGGCUCAUUUUUGUUUUUGACAAACCGUUUUACAUUAUAUGGAUGUUUUAAGAAAUAAUCAUGCAACAUUCCAUUCAACGAGCAUUGGCAAACGGAUUUUAGGUGCACACGUAAGUCACGUAAGGACUAUUCUUGUAUAAUGUGAUGAUAUCAGCAUGUAAUACGGACUCCUUUUUAUCUGCAAUCGACAUUUUUCAUUGGGAUGAAGAAAAGAAAAACAUUUAAAAAAAUGCGUAAGUUCUACAUGUUCUCAUAUAAUACUGUAAUUGAAAGAGUUGAUAUAGGUACGGCCAAACACAAGCGCGCCAAUUCGACAAAAAAAUACCACAAAUACAAGAGCCCAUCCACCUACUUUAAAACAGCACAUGCAAACAAUACACCGAGAGAGAUGGAUUUUGAAGCACAGAGUUAGAUAGAUAGAGAAAGAGAUCAAUUUUCAUGGCAUUGCUACCGAUAUAUACAUAAAUUUAUCGAAGUAGGGCAGCCAUCCGUAUCAGGUAGACAUCAAUUUCGUUGAAGUAAUAUUUGACCACAUGCUGCGCUCGAUUGACGAACGUCACAGAAUCUAGGAUCCAUCCAAAAACGAAUCCAGUAUAAAAUGCCGAUGCUCGACAAGGAUUUCAUUAGUUUCCUUUCAGUCGAUAAACUGAACACAGAAGAAAACCGCUAAAUUAUCGUCUAUUUUCUGAAGCGUGCUCAAAAAUUCGAAAUUCCGUUUCGUUUCAUUUCAUAUCAGUUUAUUAUUGAGUCGAUAUUUUUGUGAAGAAUAUUUUCAAGAACGUGAUGGCAAAAUUAUCCAUAUUUUCACUUUUGAUUAUGUUAUACGUACAUUAUUGCUUUGGCUUGUCCACUGGCGAUGAAAUGUAUAUCGAAGACGAAUUUCCCGGUCCAAUGACUAACUUCCUUCUAAUGAUGUCUCGUCAACCGAAAAUUCUCGACAAAAUUUGUGCAUUAAUCAAAAAUCCAUAUCAUAUCAAAAGCAACUCAAUUCAAACGAGCAAACGAAAUUCCGAACUGAU